rnacentral:misc_RNA from 1 species
CAGGCUUGGUUAUGUGGAGAGGGAUCACUAGAAAGCACAGUACCAGAAGAUGACGUCUGAGAGGUGAAACUGUUCCCUGAAGCACAUAUUUAUAAGAGUUUCUCCUUGGAUGGGCGUAAUAGUUUUGAAGAUCACAGUUGCUGUCAACUGUCAGCAAUCCUGUACCGAGUAUAUCAAUAUUGGGUAUAAAAAAUGAACUUUUUUUUUUAAGUUGAUUAUUUGGACCGAACUUCCAUAUAAUUUGUAAGAAAUGAGUUUAUUGAAGUUUUAAAGUUACUCGUUUUACCAUGGUUUUGAAAAAAAAAAAAAAAAAAAA